UACGGAGGGUGCAAACGUUGCUCGGAAUCAUUGGGCGUAAAGCGCACGUAGGCGGCCUGUUAUGUCGGAUGUGAAAGCCCUUGGCUUAACCGAGGAAGUGCAUCCGAAACUGGCGAGCUAGAGUACGAAAGAGGAUCGCGGAAUUCCCGGUGUAGAGGUGAAAUUCGUAGAUAUCGGGAGGAACACCGGUGGCGAAGGCGGCGAUCUGGGUCGAUACUGACGCUGAGGUGCGAAAGCGUGGGGAGCAAACAGG
rnacentral:rRNA from 1 species